AUUUCUUGUUUUUACUGGAAAGAGGCUUACCUGUGGUUUUUUGUUUUCAACUUCUGUGGAUUUCCGCUCUUUUUCCAUUAUUACUGUGGCCCUGCAUGUUUCCUGCAGCAUUUUCAGCAUAUUUGCAUUAAGAUGGAGGACUUGGAAAUAUGUAUCUUGAACAAUACCCUCAUUUCGCAAGAGGUCUCAUAAUAACAAGGGAUGAGCAAGAUGCAGUGUUCUUGAUUGUUUAAAUGGGGUUAGGCCUAGCUAAGGUUAUGUUGCUCUUCCUUGAUGCCUGAAAAGCUCAAGUGCUCUUCUUUUAGCACAUACAGACAUUUCUAUGGCUGUAUAGGAAGGAUUAAGGCAGACAAACUUGUUUCUACCAUGUAAGGAAGGUGUCAAACUAGACAAUCCUGAAAGCCUUGUUUUUAAAGCUCCACUUCCCUGGCCAUAUUAGUUCAGGGUUUAGUUACACAAUAGUAAGAUUUCUUAAAUGCAGUAUAUUUGAACAAAGACCUUUCUGUGCAGCAAUCUGCACUUUGUUUAUUAUAAAUUACCUUCUCCUUUGUUUUCUGGUAACUUGUUCUAGAUUUUAAUUCUGUAGGUAGAGCUGCAAGUCUUUUUAGAAUAUUUAGAAAGGGUCUACAGGGAGUUUGCUUUGUGGGAAUAGCUGUCAAAGCCAUCUCACUAGUUUAAGCUGUAAUGAAAGCCAUUUUAAUAUUUUUAUAAGGCUAUUUUUAGACUAAUUUAUGCUGAAGGAAGAGUAGGAGUAGAGUUGCUUUGGCACGAACACGAGGAACAGCAUCCCUAGGUUGGAAGAAUAUGUUCUCAAUGUAAUUUAUUGGUUAAUUAAAUAUGUUUGGGAAGGUCUCUGGGAGCACUGAACAGUGGUAGCCUUGUAUGAUUUAAAUAUGUGUGAGCCACCUUAGUGUGGACAACUGGACAGGUAGGUCUUGGAGAAAAAGUAGUUCCUAAGCUCAAAAAAAGCCAUGUGAUUUAUCCUUAUUAAUAGCUAUGUAGUGCAUAAUUCAGAUAUUUUUUUUUUUAAGUAUUAUGGUGAAACAUGAUGAGAGGAUUAUUCACUCCAGUUACCUGUCCAAGAGGCAGAGGUAGCAAGUUCUGUCCAGUUGAUGAGAGGACUGUGCUUUGAUAACUGUGGGUGAGUGAAUGAAUAGUGGGGACCAGUGGCUGCCAUUUUAGGAUUUACAUAUGGAAAGCAUCAGGCCAGAAAGCCCCUUAGGCUCUUUGUCUCCCUACCCUUUUGUUUCUUAGCCAACUGAAUGCCUCCAUGUCCCACAGACAGAGAAGCCUGUCAGGCUUAGCUUCUCUUCCCUGGUCAUCUGCUUCACCUUGGUUUUGAAAUAUGUCUGUGCUGCUGACCACAAAAGUAAAACUUGGCUUUGAUUUGAGUUUCAUCUUGCAGUGGCUGGUCUCCAUUUGUGGGAGAAACUGGACCAGAGCUUCAAAGCAUCAAAGUGAUUCACAGCUAAUUUUCCUUUUAAGGACCAGAAGGACCAUUAGAUCAUCUCACCUGAUUAUCUUCGGAGGGCUGGUCAGGGCUUAGUCUGCCCCAAGUCUUGUGCUGGACACAGCCAUGGCUGGAGCCCUCCAGCAGAGAGAGGCGUGGGAACAGGCAGUGUCUGUGGAGUGGCAAGUGUGCUGGAAAAUGCUCUGGGCGCAUCUUUUUUGUAUGAAAAUAUAUGUAAAAAAACUUUAACCAAACCAAUACCCAUAAGAAGUCUUGCAUGGAUUGCCUUCCUUUACUUGAGUUCUGAAGGAAAUACAGACAUUGGGUUUAGUGGUGUCCAUCAUCUGUGGAUUUUAAAUAAAAUUUACAGACCAAGGGAGAGAUCAUCUUACCAUAUCUCAGGGCAUGCAGGAAAACAUGCUGCCUUCUACAACAUGUGACUGUUCUGGUGCUUGUGGAAACAGCUGUGCCAAGCCAUGGCAUGGAAUGAAAUGUCAUGACCAGGAGAGAGUAAGGUGUUUUGUAGGCGCUGGUGACUCCCAUUUUGUUGUCAUUAACUGCAAGAGUCUAAGUGAAACUGCAGUGAAAAUCAGCUUUCGCCCUUGCAGGGCUCAUGACGCUGGUUUAGCACAGGGCUCUUGUGGUUCAUGCUGGCAUUGGUGACUGUGAAGUUCUCCUCAGAACUGUCAGUUUUAUAUGCUUUCCUUUGUUCCUUCCUCUCUAAAAUUCAGAUUUUUAAAAUACCCACCCCUUCCCCACCCCUAUGGCAAAUGAUUCUGUAACCAAAGUGCCUGGAGGUUACCCCUUCCUGUGGAACAGGCCAAGUUGUGUUGGCGGGAACAGAGCCAAAAGUGGAGGUUUGCUUUUUGAUUUCCUAGGGACUUAUUUCAGUAAUGAAAUGGAUGGUGGUUGGGUCACUUAACACUUGCGUAUUUUGCAGUUUUUGUCAGUGAGAGGAGACAAAAAGCCCAGCUGCAGCAGCGGUCGUGGAAGCUGCAGGUGUGAGCUUGGCUGGAGGAUAACAAACUGCCAUCUGUGGUGAGGCUUUGUGGUGGUUUUUUUCACAGUCCACUUGCCUAGAAAUGAGAUCAAGAAUACAAAAUGGCAGGAGUAACUGAGGAUGGCUUUCCUCCCGUUUCUGCUGCCUCUCGGGUUAGCCAGGAGUCUGCGAAAGUGUAAGAGUUGGAAUUACAUCAGGCUUAAGGCAGUACCCUGCCAGGGUGUUCAGUCUUUUAGGUACUUUCUUCCCAUGUUGCUUUAAGCAGGUUUGUCCUCUGCUCUCUGGAAGAUGUGGAGAAAUAGAAGAAAAGUUGCAAAUGUUAUUUGCAUAAAAUGUACAAAGAGAAGAAAAGCAGCAGCAUAUUGCUUUGCUUAUUAAUGUAGUUAAUACCCACUUCUGUACCCCUGCUCUGAGGUUUUUAGAGCUGAAUAAGUUGGACAAGUAAGCUUAAGUGUUUAAAAAUGAAAAAAAAAGUUUGAUGGUUGCCAUAAUUAAGUCAGCGAUGUCCAGUAUGUAUUUUAAAUUCCUAGUUCCCGUAUGUUGUUAAAUUUUUCUGUCUGGUAUGCAGCAUGUCUGCUUGUUUACAAAAUGCCUUGGAGCUGCAUGGAUUACCUCGCACUGUUUGCAGAGUGGUUUAUAAAAGUUAGGCAUGUGUUGUUCUGACUAGAGAGAUGUACUUGGAGCUGUGCUCUGGAUUGCACAAAUAAUAGUUUCCAGGAAUGGUCAUGAGGAUCAGCAGGAGGAGCUUUGAAGAGUGUGUGGAAGCAGCAUGAUCUUUGGCUGAAGGGAAGCCCUUUGCUGGUGGCUCGGUUGUUCAGGCUACUCCAAAAUGCAGAGCCUGAGCAGCUGUUUUCCCAAACAGCCUCCUGAAAUAACAGAGAGCAGGAAUCUCAGAAUACUGUCUUUCCUCUCCUUUCCUCGUUACUUGCACUACAAGAAGGAGUUGUACACUGAGGGAACUGGUUUUUUUUUUAAAGUUGAAGACAUUUGCAUAGGGCAAGUUACGUUCACUGCUGUCUACUUUUGAGACAGUUUGUUUUGGAAGUAGAGGCCUUAAGCAGCUGUAAGACCAGAAAUGCAGCACAAUGCAUUACUGACUGUAUUUGUCAUUCUCAUCUAGAGAGAAAACAUGCUGAUUACAUUCAGCAAUUUCUUUUUUUAGCUGGAGAGAAAUGAGAUGCUGGCCUUUAUUCAGCAAGCUUUGUAUGUUUGCAAAUUGCAGUUUCAACUAUCUGGGCAAAAGUGAUGGGGAUUUAGCAAUAUAAAGAAGUCAGUAUCUCACUAUAUAUUCAUGGAGGGGAUUGACUAGUCUUUUCAUAACAACAGAAUUUACAUAUUUAUGGGGCAGUCCUAUAGUUCGGGUAAUUUUUUUAUUGCAUUAAAUUUAAUUAUAUCAACUACUACAGGGCGAUUUUUCUUUUGGUAGAGGCUGCGAGAGUUUCUGUUUAACAAGACUUGAAAGAAUUAACAGAUCAUUUUGCAACAGCUAUCCAGCAGCUAGUACCAUGGAAUUUUGAUUUGCACUCCAGACCACUUCGGUGGGAUGUGUCCACUAUAUUUGGAGUAAACCUUGCAAAUUUGCUUCAAGUGUCUCACAUCAUACAUUCCCAGCGGAUCAUAAGCCUGCAGGUGGUACCACCUGUCAUCUGCUAGGGACUGGAAAUGAGCUAUUUAAGGCUUCAUUGAAAGGAUGUGUAGCUCUUGCAAGUUAGCCAAUGGAAAUUACUAGUAUGGUGGCUUCAUGGAUCUGCUGGGAUUAAUUACUGUAAUAAGCAGGAAGAAAUUGUGGAUCAAGACAGUAUGUAAAAUGUGGAGGAUCCCAGUAUACUCAUUACCCAGCUGGACUAUUGUUUUUCUCCAUAUGCAAGGUUUGAGACAAGUAGGAAGUGUGAUCCUCCUGUAUAAUCACCUGCUUCUGGCACGUGGGACCUCUUUGGCAGUAAAUCGUGGUCAUCCUGUUGAUUCAAGAAGCUGGUUGGUCAAAGGGAGAAUUGCACAGAUCUGCAGAGGUUUGUCUCAGGAUUGAGGCUCAGUGCUUUACUUUAAAUGGGAUGCUCUGCAGGAGGAGCUAGCGCUAGAUCCAUACAUCUGCCAUGCUUUGAGCUUUGUCAGGGCCCUGACCUUGCCAGUUGCAAAAUGUCUCGAAAACAAGAUGAGGCUUAAACUGUGUUUAAAGCUGGAUGAAGAGCACAGGAGCUGAGUGACAAUGCAGUUGCAGGUCAGUAACUGGAGGUUAAUAGCUGACAGUAUUUUUAAUGAACUUUCUGAUUGCAAGACCUUUGAAACAGUGCCUGCAUGCUCAGCACUGUGUGUGGCUGGGCUUGUCUUGGAGGAAGGAGAGAUUUUGUGCCUACAGCAGAAUAAGAGCUUGAGAACCCUUAGCUCUUCGAGUUCCUGAGACACUUACACCACAGAAAUAACUGGAAGUAUAAAAAUUUAGUCCAGAAGCAUCGAUUUCGUUUAAUCCACAAAUCUUAAAACAUCAGUGUUUUGUUUCCAUUAGCAUAAUGCAGAACACAGGUCUUACAGUUUUCCAGUAGCUCUUGCUGGUAUGGGCAUCUCUAAUAGCUCAGACAUGUUUCAUUCAAAUUAAAAAUACAGGGCCUGUUUAUAAACCUCCAGAGCGGCUUUAUGGCACAGACACUUACUGAGGCUACUUGUUCAUUGGGAGAGCGGAUUGGAUAUUUAGCUCUUAAUUCCUAUGAAUAGAGUUUUUCUUAGCUAACCUUAUUUCAAUAGAAGUAAGAGUUAGGGAGGAAAAAGAAAUGGGAGGGAGUGUUCACACUUGUGGAGGGCAGGUUUUUUCGAAAAACUAAAUGUUACAUGGUGUAAAUCGUACACACAUAUGAAAGGUGGAUUUUUAUAGCUGCUGGAAUCAACAUGGCUGUGACCCUUUGAGAUGAAUAAUAAAUUGCAAUCCUAAAUUUAGCACUUUGCAAUUAAGGAACCUCCUUUGCUGAUUUUUGCCAGUGACUGGAAUAAGGGCUGUGCAUUAAGAAUGUAUCCCUUAAAUUUUGCCAGUUCUGUUUGUGAGUAUGUGAUGCUGUAUGAUAUUCUCUAGAAGACUCAAGUGAAUCAGGAUGGUUUCUGGGGCAGCGUCCUGGUGUUCAGGGACAUCCCAAUGCAAAUUCUUGAAUUCAUCACACAUUUUGAUCUUUGUGCUUGCAUGUUUUAUGCUUUCUACUUGGUAGCAAAUGUAAUUUUCAUAUGUGCAAGGGAGAUUGAAAAAUCUUAGAAAGGAGAAAUUUACUGGUUGCUUUUUAAAAUAGUUUCCCAUAAAUGUUAUUGGCAGAAGGUGUUGCAAACUUAUAGCUACAUAAGAAGGAAUUUUGCUACACCCUCUUUAGCAUACUUGGAAGUUGUUUUAUGACACAGAAAGUCAAUUUACUGGACCUGCUAAUACUUUAAGUCUUAUAGAGGACAUAAUUGUAGAAUCACUUAAGUUGGAAAAGACCUCUGAGAUCAUUGAGUGCAGCCAUAAGGUUUGGUGUUUGUUUAAAUUUUUCUCUGUCUGAGUUCUGAAGACAGGAUGUGUUGUUUAAAAUUGAUAGUUCUUGAUUUAGAAAUAAAACAAACUUUGAACAAAAUGUCUACCUUGCAGCUAACAUGCAUGUCAAAAGAAAGGCUCUCUGCUAAUUCAGGUAGGAUUUGUUCCUGCAAAUUAAACUAGCUGAAAACAGGGACAAAAUAACUGCUUUUCCAGCUAUAGAUUUUUGUUGGCUUUACAAUCUCUUCAGACAUGAUGGUCAGACAAAAUAUAAUGUAAGUAUUUAUGUAAAUAAACAUUGUGCCUCGGUGAUAAUGCAGAAAAUCCUAUCAGUUCCGUGUUUGUACUGCUUAACUUCUGGUGAAAGAAAAGUGAUUUUUUUUUUUUUUUUUACACUCAUUCUGCACAUCUUUUUCCAACUCUGUGAAUUGAUAGAGCACAUCUGUGCUACUUGAGAACAAAAAAGUAUGAAGUCAUAGUCCCUUAAAUAGCUUGUAGUAUGAAAAUGCUGAAGACAGCCUUCUUUUCAUCUCCUGUGGGUCUCUUGUAAAGGAUUCUGGAAUCUUGGCUUUGAUUCUUCAUGCAGAGUCCUCACAAUAUCCACAUCUGGGUUAUGAAUGUAGCUGAGAACAGAUCUGCUUUAGAUCUUCAUGGCUAAUAAUAACUUUAAGAAACAAAUACUUAUAGCAGAAGAAUGUUUGUGUGGUCUCUAAAACAGACCAAGACAAAAAGGAGAAUCCUAUAGUAUCGAAAUAGCCUUGAACUGGUAUCAGAUGCCAGAGUUGUUCAAGCAAUUUUCUCUCAAUUGACAAAGAAUUUAUUUUUUAACUUCUCGAUAAAUUCUCUCUGUCACAGUGAAAAUUCCUAUCUCAUCUUUCUUUUGUGGUAUCUGCAUAUCCUCACAGAUAAUCUGCAUUGUAUUCAACACAGUCUCUAUUUUUAAAAGGGCACUUUGCAGAGGUUAUUGUUUCCACUGUUUCCUUUCUGUAAUAAUAUAUGAGGUCCUUUUCACUAGCAUACAUUUUUAAUGAUAUUUUCUUGAUAGCAGGAUGUUACCUGUUUAAAUAGCACUGUUCAGUUUUUCUUAAUAACUGGUAAAUGAUGAAUCUGUUUUUAACAGCUAAUUACUUUUAGUACACCUGCAUCUUGUAAAAAUACCAGCAAUAGCCGAAAUAUGACUACUUCAGGCACAGGAAAACCUUUUAAUUUAAAUAUUUGAGAAACAUAUCAAACACAUUUUGGGUGGGAGGAAGAGAAAAUUGAUGGUUGGACACUUUUAUUUUUAAGUGUCAUGUGGGUUGUGCUAAGUUGUGAAAUAGUAACUAAAAAUGAGAGGAGGAAAAGAGAUUGGCAAUGUUUCCCCAUUCUUCUAAGAGGAAGCAGCAUCGCACAGCUGACCUGGGAAUGUGUGCCAAGAGAUGACAUGAGUGUCUCGGAUUCAAGCAAACGUUGCUGUGGUCUUUGCAGUGUCUGAGGGGUAGGGUGAGACUGGGAGGAGGAAUUCAGGAUUUCCAGUGUUUGAACAGAACAGGAAACAAGAGUCAAGUGAACCUUCUGAUGGAAGGUGGAGGAAGUCAAAGUGACAGAAAAUUCAUUGCAGGUCUCAACAUUGACUUGCCUUGAGUGUGAACUUGGUCCUGGGUGCCUGAAAGAAAAAGAAAAUUCUAAUGGAGUUGUAAUGUUUUACACUGCAAGAGAGGAAACAUUGGAAUAGGCAGUGCCCUAGAUGGGCUGUGGUGUUUCACAUCACGCAGUCCCAUCUGCACUGAAAACAGGCGAGUUCAACAGUAAAUUCAUAGCUUCGAAUUUAUUGAAGUUCAUAUGGCUUUAAAAUCCCAUGCAUCACUGCAGGCUUGGGGAAGAAGGGCUUGAGAGCUGCUCAGCAGAAUGAGACCUGGGGAUGCUGGUUGACAGCUGUGUGGAUACGAGCCAGAAGUGUGCCCAGGGGUGGCUAAGAAGGCCAAUGGCAUCCUGGCUUAUAUUAGAAACUGUGUGGCCAGCAGGAGCAGGGCAAUGUAAAACACACAUCUGUACCUGUGUAAUUAAGACAACACAAAUUCUUUUGAUUUCUCAUUCCCUGCAUCCACCCAAUAGUAAAAGUUUAAAACUAUCAACACCUUAAAUAGAGAGACAGAAAGAUGUAUUUCAUAUAUCCUCAUAUGAGAGUAAAAGACGUAAGAGUUAAACAGAUUCAGGAAUGUAGUGGUAACAGGUUUUUUUAAAGAAUUAAAUAGCUGGCUUGCUCUGCCUUACUCAUUAAGUAUAGCCGUGUACUAAACUUCUUAUUUGCAGUAAAGUAACCAGUAACAGACAUGUUUAGGUUAUAUUUUUUCCAGAGACAAGUCCCUGCAAAUAACUGUAUUUGCUAUAUUUGCACACCCACGUAGGUAUAAUAGGUGUUUGCCUGUUAUUGUUUCGGAUACUUGUUGAACAACCAAAAAGGGUUUCUGGAGUCUCUGACACAUUUGAAAAACAGAGCUUGAAUGGGAGGCUGAGGUUCAUGUCAAUCAUGCAGGGCAGAGUGUAUUUGUUAUCAAACCAUAUGACAAAGGAUCAGAGUUUGGGGGAUUACUUUGGAGGCUUCCCAGGCACGUAAAAGGAAUGUUCAAUCUUUCUACUUUGAUGUAAACUCAGUUUUCAAGUUCCUGUUGAACUUGGGUUCUUCCCAGCCUCCCCCUCAAUAUUCUGUUGGAUCUGUAAUCCUUGAUAUUUCAGUAAAGGAAAACUUCGGUGUUUGGGGUAGCUGAUUUUCAGUUGUUGCUCUUUAUACAUAUUUUAUCAGAACUAAAAUAAUGCUGAGGUAGCACAGUGGCACAGUUAGUAUUAAGAAGGGGGGGGGAUUUGGGUGCAGCUGCACUUUUGCUGUCAUUAUCCAUUUUCACAUGUUGCGACCAGAAACAUUUUGGCUUCCUCUGCCAAGAGGCAGAUUCGUUUAUGUUACUCCAAUUGUGAAACUAAAUUUUCCUUUUUAAAUACUGCAUCAUAAAGUUCUGGUUCAUGGUCAGGAAAACUUUCUUCCAAAAUAUUUUGAGUCUCUUUCCCACAGAAACAGAAUGGGAAUUGAGUAGGUAUUAAAUCAAGCAGCAUCUGAAUACAUAAUUAGUCACCGAAGCCUCAAAUAGAAAACCACUUGGAAGCUUACGUUUUCUUAUUCCAUUCUCAAGCCAAACAAAUGUCUAAUAAGAACAUUAAUUUUGGAUUUUGGAACUGGUUUUUUUCACUACCAUAAAAAGGGACACUUGGUAACCAUUAAUACAGUUGUACAGUAUAGCUGUUCCAGUAGUAGUUUAC